CUGAGGUCUGCAACCCAGAUAUCCUCACUCCAGUGCAGUCCUGCCAACAUCCAGGAGGAGAUUCUUCCUAUCAAGCCAUUUUACUACAGUUUUAGAUUCACAGGCAAUGCAGAGUCUAGACACAUCCUGAAGUUUUGCACUGGACCACUUCACUGCUUUCUCCAUGAAAAUCCCUCCAUCUGGGGACACUCUGCCCUCCCCUUUGUUUGAGACUCUCCGCAGAGAUUUCCGUGAGUAACGUGCUUGGAUUGUGUUCCUGUUCUUUGCAUGUUCCCUGGCUGGGAGUGCUCGAGCAGACUGACAUUGU
rnacentral:lncRNA from 1 species